UACGUAGGGGGCUAGCGUUGUCCGGAAUCAUUGGGCGUAAAGCGCGUGUAGGCGGCCCGGUAAGUCCGCUGUGAAAGUCGGGGGCUCAACCCUCGGAUGCCGGUGGAUACUGUCGGGCUCGAGUACGGAAGAGGCGAGUGGAAUUCCCGGUGUAGCGGUGAAAUGCGCAGAUAUCGGGAGGAACACCAAUGGCGAAGGCAGCUCGCUGGGACGUUACUGACGCUGAGACGCGAAAGCGUGGGGAGCAAACAGG
rnacentral:rRNA from 1 species